AUACGUAGGGUGCAAGCGUUAAUCGGAAUUACUGGGCGUAAAGCGUGCGCAGGCGGUUUUGUAAGACAGUGGUGAAAUCCCCGGGCUCAACCUGGGAACUGCCAUUGUGACUGCAAGGCUGGAGUGCGGCAGAGGGGGAUGGAAUUCCGCGUGUAGCAGUGAAAUGCGUAGAUAUGCGGAGGAACACCGAUGGCGAAGGCAAUCCCCUGGGCCUGCACUGACGCGCAUGCACGAAAGCGUGGGGAGCAAACAGGAUUAGAUACCCUGGUAGUCCACGCCCUAAACGAUGUCAACUGGUUGUUGGGGAUUUAUUUUCUCAGUAACGAAGCUAACGCGUGAAGUUGACCGCCUGGGGAGUACGGCCGCAAGGUUAAAACUCAAAUGAAUUGACGGGG
rnacentral:rRNA from 1 species